rnacentral:rRNA from 1 species
AUUGAACGCUGGCGGCAUGCCUUACACAUGCAAGUCGAACGGUAACGCGGGGCAACCUGGCGACGAGUGGCGAACGGGUGAGUAAUGCAUCGGAACGUGCCCAACAGUGGGGGAUAGCUCGGCGAAAGCCGGAUUAAUACCGCAUAUCACCUAAGGGUAAAAGCGGGGGAUCGCAAGACCUCGCGCUGAUGGAGCGGCCGAUGGCUGGUUAGGUUGUUGGUGGGGUAAAGGCCUACCAAGCCGACGAUAUGUAGCUGGUCUGAGAGGACGACCAGACAAACUGGGACUGGGACCCGGGCCAGACGCCUGCGGGUGGCAUCAGUGGGGAAUUGUAGACAAUGGGCGCAAGCCUGAUCAAGCCAUGCCGCGUGCGGGAUGAAGGCCUUCGGGUUGUAAACCGCUUUUGUCGGGGAAGAAAUACUCCGGGCUAAUACCCCGGGAGGAUGACGGUACCUGAAGAAUAAGCACCGGCUAACUACGUGCCAGCCGCCGCCGUAA